rnacentral:rRNA from 1 species
GACGAACGCUGGCGGCGUGCUUAACACAUGCAAGUCGAACGGAAAGGCCCUGCUUUUGUGGGGUGCUCGAGUGGCGAACGGGUGAGUAACACGUGAGUAACCUGCCCUUGACUUUGGGAUAACUUCAGGAAACUGGGGCUAAUACCGGAUAGGAGCUCCUGCUGCAUGGUGGGGGUUGGAAAGUUUCGGCGGUUGGGGAUGGACUCGCGGCUUAUCAGCUUGUUGGUGGGGUAGUGGCUUACCAAGGCUUUGACGGGUAGCCGGCCUGAGAGGGUGACCGGCCACAUUGGGACUGAGAUACGGCCCAGACUCCUACGGGAGGCAGCAGUGGGGAAUAUUGCACAAUGGGCGGAAGCCUGAUGCAGCAACGCCGCGUGUGGGAUGACGGCCUUCGGGUUGUAAACCGCUUUCGCCUGUGACGAAGCGUGAGUGACGGUAAUGGGUAAAGAAGCACCGGCUAACUACGUGCCAGCAGCCGCGGUGAUACGUAGGGUGCGAGCGUUGUCCGGAUUUAUUGGGCGUAAAGGGCUCGUAGGUGGUUGAUCGCGUCGGAAGUGUAAUCUUGGGGCUUAACCCUGAGCGUGCUUUCGAUACGGGUUGACUUGAGGAAGGUAGGGGAGAAUGGAAUUCCUGGUGGAGCGGUGGAAUGCGCAGAUAUCAGGAGGAACACCAGUGGCGAAGGCGGUUCUCUGGGCCUUUCCUGACGCUGAGGAGCGAAAGCGUGGGGAGCGAACAGGCUUAGAUACCCUGGUAGUCCACGCUGUAAACGGUGGGUACUAGGUGUGGGGUCCAUUCCACGGGUUCCGUGCCGUAGCUAACGCUUUAAGUACCCCGCCUGGGGAGUACGGCCGCAAGGCUAAAACUCAAAGGAAUUGACGGGGCCCCGCACAAGCGGCGGAGCAUGCGGAUUAAUUCGAUGCAACGCGUAGAACCUUACCUGGGUUUGACAUGGAUCGGGAGUGCUCAGAGAUGGGUGUGCCUCUUUUGGGGUCGGUUCACAGGUGGUGCAUGGCUGUCGUCAGCUCGUGUCGUGAGAUGUUGGGUUAAGUCCCGCAACGAGCGCAACCCUUGUUCACUGUUGCCAGCACGUUAUGGUGGGGACUCAGUGGAGACCGCCGGGGUCAACUCGGAGGAAGGUGGGGAUGACGUCAAGUCAUCAUGCCCCUUAUGUCCAGGGCUUCACGCAUGCUACAAUGGCUGGUACAGAGAGUGGCGAGCCUGUGAGGGUGAGCGAAUCUCGGAAAGCCGGUCUCAGUUCGGAUUGGGGUCUGCAACUCGACCUCAUGAAGUCGGAGUCGCUAGUAAUCGCAGAUCAGCAACGCUGCGGUGAAUACGUUCCCGGGGCUUGUACACACCGCCCGUCAAGUCAUGAAAGUUGGUAACACCCGAAGCCGGUGGCCUAACCGUUGUGGGGGAGCCGUCGAAGGUGGGACUGGUGAUUAGGACU